UAUAUACAUACUUAUAUUUUGAAAACAACAUAUUUUUUCACACGCAAUUUUUUUCUUAGAAUUUUUCCGAGAUCGAUUGAUUUAGUUUCCACUUAUUCGCUGCGAAAGUCAAACUCACAAUGUCGCGCAAAACCUUCGGCGAAAAGAAGAAGAGCCACAUAUCGCGCGUCACUUACAACUUCGCGUUGAGCAAAGAAAUCGAAAAUGCGAUGAUUUGGCGCCAAUCCUUGGAACUAAGGGAUAUUGUACGUGGUAAAAGCAUAGAUGUCACACCCAAGCUCAUUGAUACCGAUACGCGGUCAACGCUUCGAUUUCGCAGUAUAGCCACCUAUGCCGAAGAUCUUAUAAAACAAAUGACCAAAAGCUCCAGCGUACAAAGUUUCAACAGUCGCCGAAUAAGCAUAAGUUCAGUGAAAGCCAAGUCCAGUACACGUCUGGGUCUGAAGCUUUCACUGGAUGAAAUCAUACAAGCAAUUGGAUCGAGCGGUUCGCUCCACGAAUAUCAUCACUAUUACCAUGAAAUUACUUUUGCCAAACGAGAACCAUUACCUUUUAUAAAAGUGGUUUUGCGCAAGUCGCCAGAAUUCGUGUUAUACCAUCAAAACAGUUUUACCGUACCGAAAGGCAGUGCAGAAGCCGAGGCUGUCGAACAUGACAAUCAAAUUUACGAUUACCUAACAAUAGGUAAAGGCAAGGUACGUCGGCGUUCCGAUGCCGAAACGCAGACCGUCGGUGUGCUUAUGAAGCCGCGCACUGUCAGUACAAUCCCAAAGAAAUUCGGUGAAAGGGCGGCCUACGUAUCAUUUUUCGAAAUGUUCGACACCUACCAACAAUUACUCCAAACACCGACCGCGUUCAAUGAGCGUCACUCACUAAGUACGGGCGUUUUAGAUUUAAUUGCAAAAAAUCCACAAUUCUCCUACGCGGCUAUGGUGUUGGAACGUAUAUUGGCUAGCAAUUGUUAUCAACAGGGACAACGCCGUUAUCGCAACAUGAAUAUACCCACUAAAAUGGACAAAUAUGCCGAGUAUAAAUAUUCGCUGAAUCUGCUCUAUCGCUUGAUACAGCCCAAAUUUCAAGGUGGCCUGGAUAAGCGGCGCAAAGCUAUUGCCGCUCUAAGUUUUUGUCAUGGCAAUGGUGAUCUAAUAGCCGUCGCUUAUGGUUUCUAUUCGGAUGCCUCGAAAGUGACCGUGCCGAAUGGUAACGUCUGCGUUUGGAGUAUGAAAAAUCCACAAAACCCGGAACGCCACUACAGCUAUCCAGUGCCGGUAUCAGCAGUUGAGUUCUCACCAUUUUUACCUUUUCUCCUUGCCAUUGGCCUCUACGAUGGCACAGUGCAAGUGCGAAACAUAACAAAACCGGACUAUCCGCCAGUUGCGAUUUCGCAGCGUAGCGUUCUAUUGAGCUGUGAACCGGUGACCGCCAUACAAUGGAUCCGCCAAACGCAAGAGAAUGCCGCCGAAGCAGAUCCAUUUUUAGCGCUAACUCGUGAUGGCAAAGUAGCGAAAUUUCGCAUUAUAGCGAGCCCAUACCUGUUGGGUAUGCGUCAGAUGGAGCUACUGCGCAUCGAAGGCAAUCCUGAGGGUUUUCAAUCCAAAAAUAUUGUAAUGAACGAAGAAAAGUCGCUCGAUUCGGGACGUAGCGCUAGCGGUUUGCAUCUAGUUAUGCAUCCGGUGCAAAGCGAUAUCUAUUACAUACUCACCGACGAGGGUUGCAUACAGAAGUGCUCGUUGAAUCACACACAUCAUUACUUGGAAAUGUUGAAGGUCCAUGAGGGCUCCGUUAACCAUAUGGAUUUCUCACCUUGGUCACCGAAACUGUUUCUAACCUGUGGCAAUGAUUGGACCAUUCGCAUUUGGCUGGAAGGUAUUUUUCAGCCUCUAAUAACCCUUUCCGAUCGCUAUAUGCCAGUCCAUUGUGCCAUGUGGAGUCGCACUCACUCUACGGUAAUUAUUGCUGUCAAUCGGGAAACUGUUGACAUGUGGGACUUACGACGAAACUUAUUGGACCCUAUAUCAACCAUAAAUAUUGACUCUUCGUUUCAUACUUUAGCAAAACAAGCAACAGUGCCAAGCAAUGAAUCAACUUUUUACCGAUAUUCGAACGAGCGACCGACCAUGUGACACGACGCACAGAGAUUGCUUUGCGCUUUAAAACAAUACCGAAUGUCCCAACGCAAUCAAGCAACGAGCGGAGUGACAGCUCAAGCAGCAGGCAAAUCAAAGGCAAAAGCUUCAACAACAAACGGCAGGAGGAGCAAAGAGCGGUGGAAUUGAUUUGAUCGUCAUCAAAAUGGGAUCUCUCAUCCGAGGCUGGUUAUGACUAUUCACUGGGGGUGUUUUUUUACGUGCCGGGUCCCAAACCCAGCGCACAACCCUAUGCAGGGGAUGUUUCGCCUUCUCACGUUAGCUCGCCUUCAAGCGGAUGUUCUUAGGCUACCCAGAGGAUACUUGGUCAAAAACCGGAAGUCGUGAGCUGCUUGAGUCACAUGUAAAAGAAUCGUUUCUGGCCACUCCAAAGUGAAUGGCAAUCAGAGAACUUUCCUCACUUGCGUGAACUUCUACACAUGACUCCAUCCUCAACAACGGAUGAGUCGACAUUGCGAGUUUUCGAGAGAAAAGUUCUGCGAAAGAUUUAUGGUCCUUUGCGCGUUGGCCACGGCGAAUAUCGCAUUCGAUGGAACGAUGAGUUAUACGAGAUAUACGACGACAUUGACAUAGUUUAGCGAAUUAAGAGACAGUGGCUAAGCUGGUUAGGUCAUGUUGUCCGGAUGGACGAAAACACUCCAGCUCUGAAAGUAUUCGACGCAGUACCCGCGCGGGAAGCAGAUGAAGAGGAAGACCUCCACUCCGUUGGAAGGACCAAGUGGAGAAGGACCUGGCCUCGCUUGGAAUAUCCAAUUGGCGCCACGUUGCGAAAAGAAGAAACGACUGGCGUGCGGCUGUUUAACUCGGCUAUAAUCGCAUAAGCGGUGUCUACGCCAAUUAAGAAGAAGAAGAAGAAUUGAUUUUAACGAAACAGACCUUAGACUUUGAGGUGCAAUUCAAUAAAAUAUCGCAUACAAAUCUGAAAUCAGAAUUCAUACUAUCUCUUCAAGUGAUGGAUUAGAAAAUGGAUCAGGGCUACCGUAGAGUAGAGAAUGAAAACACGCUUUGAUCUCACAUGACGUGGAUUCGGACCAUAUUUUCGACCAAGUACAAAAAUAUUUUUUGAAGGCGAUCGGCACUUGGCAUCAUGUAAGCCAUGAAAAAGGAUAAACCAACUUAAAAAGAAGUCACCGACGAAAUCAGCUACAAGUUAAGUCGUCACUUACAAAUAUUUUUAUUUAAACUAUAAAUAUAAUUCAAUUUUAUAGUUGAAAUAAAUUUGAA